UCUCUGGUGGUCCAGUGGCUAAGACUCCCAGCUCCCAAUGCAGGGGGCCCAGGUUCGAUUUCUGGUCAGAGAA
rnacentral:tRNA from 1 species